rnacentral:rRNA from 1 species
GACAGAGGGUGCAAACGUUGUUCGGAAUUACUGGGCGUAAAGCGCGUGUAGGUGGCGAGGCAAGUCGGGUGUGAAAUCCCACGGCUCAACCGUGGAAGUGCAUUCGAAACUGCAGGGCUAGAGUCCUGGAGAGGAAGGUGGAAUGCUUGGUGUAGAGGUGAAAUUCGUAGAUAUCAAGCGGAACACCGGUGGCGAAGGCGGCCUUCUGGACAGUGACGUGGACGCAUGAGUAC